AGUGAACGCUGGCGGUAUGCCUAACACAUGCAAGUCGAACGGCAGCACAGUAAGAGCUUGCUCUUACGGGUGUCGAGUGGCGGACGGUGGAGUAAGACAUCGGAUUCUACUUUUUCGGGGGUGAUAACGUAGGGAAACUUACUCUAAUACCGCAUACGUCGUACUUGGGAAAGCAGGGGAUCUUCUGACCUUUCGCUAUUGAAUGAGCCGAUGUCGGAUUAGCUAGUUGGCGGGGUAAAGGCACACCAAGGCGACGAUCCGUAGCUGGUAUGAGAGGAUGAUUAGCCACCCUGGAACUGAGAAACGGUCGAGACUCCUACGGGAGGCAGCAGUGGGGAAUAUUGGACAAAGGGGGAAAGCCUGAUACAGCAAUACCGCGUGGGUGCAGAAGGACUUAGGGUUGUAAAGCCAUUUUGUUGGGAAAGAAAAGAAGCAGGUUAAUACCCCGCUGUUAUGACGGUACCGAAAGAAUAAGCACCGGCUAACUUCGUG
rnacentral:rRNA from 1 species